CCAGACUCCUACGGGAGGCAGCAGUGAGGAAUAUUGGUCAAUGGACGCAAGUCUGAACCAGCCAUGCCGCGUGCAGGAAGACGGCUCUAUGAGUUGUAAACUGCUUUUGUACGAGGGUAAAUGCAGGUACGUGUAUCUGUUUGAAAGUAUCGUACGAAUAAGGAUCGGCUAACUCCGUGCCAGCAGCCGCGGUAAUACGGAGGAUCCAAGCGUUAUCCGGAUUUAUUGGGUUUAAAGGGUGCGUAGGCGGUUUUAUAAGUUAGAGGUGAAAUCUCGGGGCUCAACUCCGAAAUUGCCUCUAAUACUGUAGGACUAGAGAGUAGUUGCGGUAGGCGGAAUGUAUGGUGUAGCGGUGAAAUGCUUAGAGAUCAUACAGAACACCGAUUGCGAAGGCAGCUUACCAAACUAUAUCUGACGUUGAGGCACGAAAGCGUGGGGAGCAAACAGGAUUAGAUACCCUUGUA
rnacentral:rRNA from 1 species